AGCAGCCGCGGUAAUUCCAGCUCCAAUAGCGUAUAUUAAAGUUGUUGCAGUUAAAAAGCUCGUAGUUGAAUUUCGGGGUCAGUAGAUUGGUCGUGCCACUGGUAUGUACUGGUCUUACUGGCUCCUCCUUCCUGAUGAACCGUAAUGCCAUUAAUUUGGUGUUGCGGGGAGACUGGACUGUUACUUUGAAAAAUUAGAGUGUUUAAAGCAGGCUAACGCUUGAAUACAUUAGCAUGGAAUAAUGAAAUAGGACGUUCGAUCUUAUUUUGUUGGUUUCUAAGAUUGACGUAAUGAUUAAUAGGGAUAGUUGGGGGCAUUAGUAUUCAAUUGUCAGAGGUGAAAUUCUUGGAUUUUAUUGAAGACUAACUACUGCGAAAGCAUUUGCCAAGGAUGUUUUCAUUAAUCAAGAACGAAAGUUAGGGGAUCGAAGACGAUCAGAUACCGUCGUAG
rnacentral:rRNA from 1 species